rnacentral:rRNA from 1 species
AUUGAACGCUGGCGGCAGGCCUAACACAUGCAAGUCGAACGGUAACAGGAAGCAGCUUGCUGCUUUGCUGACGAGUGGCGGACGGGUGAGUAAUGUCUGGGAAACUGCCUGAUGGAGGGGGAUAACUACUGGAAACGGUAGCUAAUACCGCAUAACGUCGCAAGACCAAAGAGGGGGACCUUCGGGCCUCUUGCCAUCGGAUGUGCCCAGAUGGGAUUAGCUAGUAGGUGGGGUAACGGCUCACCUAGGCAACGAUCCCUAGCUGGUCUGAGAGGAUGACCAGCCACACUGGAACUGGGACACGGUCCAGACUCCUACGGGAGGCAGCAGUGGGGAAUAUUGCACAAUGGGCGCAAGCCUGAUGCAGCCAUGCCGCGUGUAUGAAGAAGGCCUUCGGGUUGUAAAGUACUUUCAGCGGGGAGGAAGGCGAUAAGGUUAAUAACCUUGUCGAUUGACGUUACCCGCAGAAGAAGCACCGGCUAACUCCGUGCCAGCANCCGCGGUAAUACGGAGGGUGCAAGCGUUAAUCGGAAUUACUGGGCGUAAAGCGCACGCAGGCGGUCUGUCANUCGGAUGUGAAAUCCCCCGGGNUCAACCCUGGGAACUGCAUUCGAAACUGGCNNC